rnacentral:rRNA from 1 species
CAGAGGGGGCAAGCGUUGUUCGGAAUUACUGGGCGUAAAGGGCGCGUAGGCGGCCUGCUAAGUCGAACGUGAAAUCCCCGGGCUCAACCCGGGAACUGCGUCCGAUACUGGUAGGCUUGAAUUCGGGAGAGGGAUGCGGAAUUCCAGGUGUAGCGGUGAAAUGCGUAGAUAUCUGGAGGAACACCGGUGGCGAAGGCGGCAUCCUGGACCGACAUUGACGCUGAGGCGCGAAAGCCAGGGGAGCAAACGGGAUUAGAUACCCCGGUAGUCCUGGCCCUAAACGAUGAAUGCUUGGUGUGGUGGGUAUCGAUCCCUACCGUGCCGAAGCUAACGCAUUAAGCAUUCCGCCUGGGGAGUACGGUCGCAAGGCUG